GCCCAGAUGGCGGAAUGGUAGACGCGCUGGCUUCAGGUGCCAGUGACCGCAAGGUCGUGGAGGUUCGAGUCCUCUUCUGGGCACCA
rnacentral:tRNA from 3 species